GGAGUUUGGUCCGUGUCUCAGUACCAAUGUGGGGGACCUUCCUUUCAGAACCCCUACUGAUCGUUGCCCCGGUGGGCCGUUACCCCGCCGGCAAGCUAAUCAGACGCAUCCCCAUCCCAUAGCGGUGAACCUUUGGUAUUCCUCAGAUGUCAUCGAAAUACAACAUAGAGCAUUAAUCCGACUUUCGCCGGGCUAUUCUCUACUAUGGGGAAGGUUGGAUACGCGUUACUCACCCGUGCGCCGGUCGCCAUCAAUCAAAGCAAGCUUUGAUCAUGCUGCCCCUCGACUUGCAUGUGUUAAGCCUGUAGCUAGCGUUCAUC
rnacentral:rRNA from 1 species